AAGCUGUGAUGAUGUCAAAAUUUGCUAUCUGGAAAAUGCUGAAGACAUUUAAUCUACCACCUAGAUCUCUGAGCUU